rnacentral:rRNA from 1 species
CAGCAGCCGCGGUAAUACAGAGGGUGCGAGCGUUAAUCGGAUUUACUGGGCGUAAAGCGUGCGUAGGCGGCUUCUUAAGUCGGAUGUGAAAUCCCUGAGCUUAACUUAGGAAUUGCAUUCGAUACUGGGAAGCUAGAGUAUGGGAGAGGAUGGUAGAAUUCCAGGUGUAGCGGUGAAAUGCGUAGAGAUCUGGAGGAAUACCGAUGGCGAAGGCAGCCAUCUGGCCUAAUACUGACGCUGAGGUACGAAAGCGUGGGGAGCAAACAGGAUUAGAUACCCCGGUAGUCCCUGUCUCUUAUAC